UACGGGGGGGGCAAGCGUUGUUCGGAAUUACUGGGCGUAAAGGGCUCGUAGGCGGCCAACUAAGUCCGACGUGAAAUCCCCAAGCUUAAUUUGGGAACUGCGUCGGAUACUGGAUGGCUUGAAUUCGGGAGAGGGAUGCAGAAUUCCCGGUGUAGUGGUGAAAUGCGUAGAUAUCGGGAGGAACACCAGUGGCGAAGGCGACUACCUGGGCCUGUUCUUGACGCUGAGGCGCGAAAGCUAGGGGAGCAAACGGG
rnacentral:rRNA from 1 species